GCUCUAAGUGGAAUCUAGUGGACAUGGCAUCUGCCUGGUAAGCGGAACACUGUGGGUUCGAUUCCCAUCCCUGGACA
rnacentral:tRNA from 1 species